rnacentral:rRNA from 2 species
UGACCUCGAAUCAGGUAGGACUACCCGCUGAACUUAAGCAUAUCAAUAAGCGGAGGAAAAGAAACCAACAGGGAUUGCCCCAGUAACGGCGAGUGAAGCGGCAACAGCUCAAAUUUGAAAUCUGGCUCCUAGAGUCCGAAUUGUAAUUUGCAGAGGAUGCUUUUGAUGCGGUGCCUUCCGAGUUCCCUGGAACGGGACGCCAUAGAGGGUGAGAGCCCCGUCUGGUCGGAUGCCAAAUCUCUGUAAAGCUCCUUCGACGAGUCGAGUAGUUUGGGAAUGCUGCUCUAAAUGGGAGGUAUAUGUCUUCUAAAGCUAAAUAUUGGCCAGAGACCGAUAGCGCACAAGUAGAGUGAUCGAA